rnacentral:sRNA from 1 species
GACCACUUUGUAAAAAGUCAAGGCCAUACGGACAGCCAGGUCCACUGCCGA